rnacentral:rRNA from 1 species
GAUGAACGCUGGCGGCGUGCCUAAUACAUGCAAGUCGAGCGAACGGACGAGAAGCUUGCUUCUCUGAUGUUAGCGGCGGACGGGUGAGUAACACGUGGAUAACCUACCUAUAAAACUGGGAUAACUUCGGGAAACCGGAGCUAAUACCGGAUAAUAUUUUGAACCGCAUGGUUCAAAAGUGAAAGACGGUCUUGCUGUCACUUAUAGAUGGAUCCGCGCUGCAUUAGCUAGUUGGUAAGGUAACGGCUUACCAAGGCAACGAUGCAUAGCCGACCUGAGAGGGUGAUCGGCCACACUGGAACUGAGACGCGGUCCAGACUCCUACGGGAGGCAGCAGUAGGGAAUCUUCCGCAAUGGGCGAAAGCCUGACGGAGCAACGCCGCGUGAGUGAUGAAGGUCCUCGGAUCGUAAAACUCUGUUAUUAGGGAAGAACAUAUGUGUAAGUAACUGUGCACAUCUUGACGGUACCUAAUCAGAAAGCCACGGCUAACUACGUG